AAAUUCAAAUCAUGGAGAAGUUUUUUAGCGACAAAAAGGGUAAAUAGAGAUGAGAAGGAAGAGGGAGCUAUCUCAGGUGCACACCUCAUGGAUAGCAUUCCUAAUUCUCACAUCUUCAGAUCUCUUCCUCUAUUAUGGUUAUCUCAUCUUUCUUAAAUGUCCAUGGGGAUCUCAUCUCACAAUAUCUAGACAGAUUUGAUGGUAUCUUACUAUUUUUUUUAUCUCACAAUACUUUUAUGGUAAUUCAUCAUUUUCAUCACGAUUUCAGCGAUCACUAGGAUUUCAGUGAAAUCUUAUCCCUAGGCCACACCACAAUGAUGAAUAGGCUUAUUCAAGAGACAGUUUGGUAAGAGAUUCAACUCCUACCUAUAGAUCAUGUCGAUGGAGAUCAUGCCAAUAUGACUGAACCACUUAGUUCAGUUUGGCAAUUAAGGAGAAGCUCAAACUUUGUUUCAAUCCCAACAUCCUUUCCUAAUCUUUCAACAGCUGAGAGACUUUUCCUUAGAUCUCCUACAUAAUAAAUAAAUUAGCAGUUGGAAUAUCGAAUGAAGCUUCUGUGUAAGAAAAUUCUCAAGAGAUGAAUAAUUAGUAACGGUGGUUUUCAGUAUGAUAUUCAUCAACGAGCACAAGUUUCUUCAUUGGUUUCACACCAAUUUACUGGUUACAAUCUUACAGAAUAUUUAACUCAUAAUCUUGCAGAGAAGCUUUAUACAACCAUGUACAGAACGCAACUAUAUAUAUAUAAUUGAUCACACAGCAGGCUGCUGAUGUUCUAAAGAAUCAGCAGGCUGGGAUCCAAGCCACCAAAAGAAAAAAAGAAAGAUGAAACAAACCCUACUAUUUCAUUGGGUCUCGUUAAUAUAGGACCCCUGAACCUUUACAACCAAAAGCACUCAUACUAAGUAUAGGAUAUGGGCGGGGUCAGCUUCAUCCCGCAUAGGCAUUCUCCUUGGUGACUUGGCCAGACGAAUUGAGGAUAGUUGAAGGAAGAGGAAGAGGCAGUUCCAUAUCCGAACUUGAACGUUCUGAUUCCAAAGUUCUUACCCCUCCCACCGUGGCGGGGAUGGGGAUAGGGACGUCUUCUGCUGGUUUAGGUGUGUAGUUGAAAGACAAUUCUUUGUUGGCGGCAAGUGCCACCAGAUCUUUCUCCUCCAACCCUUGCGUGGGGCCAAGGCAGCAUCGAUCUGUGUUGUGUUUGGCUAACGCAUCCUUGAAUUUCUUAAUC